rnacentral:rRNA from 1 species
CAGUAGCCGCGGGAAUACCGAGGGUGCGAGCGUUAAUCGGAUUUACUGGGCGUAAAGCGUGCGUAGGCGGCUUCUUAAGUCGGAUGUGAAAUCCCUGAGCUUAACUUAGGAAUUGCAUUCGAUACUGGGAAGCUAGAGUAUGGGAGAGGAUGGUAGAAUUCCAGGUGUAGCGGUGAAAUGCGUAGAGAUCUGGAGGAAUACCGAUGGCGAAGGCAGCCAUCUGGCCUAAUACUGACGCUGAGGUACGAAAGCAUGGGGAGCAAACAGGAUUAGAUACCCGUGUAGUCCCUGUCUCUUAUAC